CGCGUGGUGGUGGAGGCGGAGGCGGCGCGACGCGUAGCGCUGGCGGGGUAGCCGGCAGCCGGCAGCCGCAGUCGCGACGGAUCGCCGGGAUACGCGGCUCGGCCGCCGCUCUCCAGCAUCCGGUACCGCUACUGCAGACGACCAACGAUACGACAACGUUUUCACAAGGUACAUUCCGUUCACGAAAACUGACAACGGCCGGACGAGCGGUGUGUUGACCACGUGCCCCUCCAUAGCCGCAAGCGGUGACGCUGAAGGUUUAAGGAUAUCAGGGCGGCCGGUCGGUACUGUCAGA